rnacentral:rRNA from 1 species
AGUGCAUCAGGCGGAUGCCUUGGCGAUGAUAGGCGACGAAGGACGUGUAAGCCUGCGAAAAGCGCGGGGGAGCUGGCAAUAAAGCUAUGAUUCCGCGAUGUCCGAAUGGGGAAACCCACUGCAUUCUGUGCAGUAUCCUAAGUUGAAUACAUAGGCUUAGAGAAGCGAACCCGGAGAACUGAACCAUCUAAGUACCCGGAGGAAAAGAAAUCAACCGAGAUUCCGCAAGUAGUGGCGAGCGAACGCGGAGGAGCCUGUACGUAAUAACUGUCGAGAUAGAAGAACAAGCUGGGAAGCUUGACCAUAGCGGGUGACAGUCCCGUAUUCGAAAUCUCAACAGCGGUACUAAGCGUACGAAAAGUAGGGCGGGACACGUGAAAUCCUGUCUGAAUAUGGGGGGACCAUCCUCCAAGGCUAAAUACUCAUCAUCGACCGAUAGUGAACCAGUACCGUGAGGGAAAGGCGAAAAGAACCCCGGGAGGGGAGUGAAACAGAACCUGAAACCUGAUGCAUACAAACAGUGGGAGCGCCCUAGUGGUGUGACUGCGUACCUUUUGUAUAAUGGGUCAACGACUUACAUUCAGUAGCGAGCUUAACCGGAUAGGGGAGGCGUAGGGAAACCGAGUCUUAAUAGGGCGAUGAGUUGCUGGGUGUAGACCCGAAACCGAGUGAUCUAUCCAUGGCCAGGUUGAAGGUGCCGUAACAGGUACUGGAGGACCGAACCCACGCAUGUUGCAAAAUGCGGGGAUGAGCUGUGGGUAGGGGUGAAAGGCUAAACAAACUCGGAGAUAGCUGGUUCUCCCCGAAAACUAUUUAGGUAGUGCCUCGAGCAAGACACUGAUGGGGGUAAAGCACUGUUAUGGCUAGGGGGUUAUUGCAACUUACCAACCCAUGGCAAACUCAGAAUACCAUCAAGUGGUUCCUCGGGAGACAGACAGCGGGUGCUAACGUCCGUUGUCAAGAGGGAAACAACCCAGACCGCCGGCUAAGGUCCCAAAUGAUAGAUUAAGUGGUAAACGAAGUGGGAAGGCACAGACAGCCAGGAUGUUGGCUUAGAAGCAGCCAUCAUUUAAAGAAAGCGUAAUAGCUCACUGGUCGAGUCGUCCUGCGCGGAAGAUGUAACGGGGCUCAAAUCUAUAACCGAAGCUGCGGAUGCCGGUUUACCGGCAUGGUAGGGGAGCGUUCUGUAGGCUGAUGAAGGUGCAUUGUAAAGUGUGCUGGAGGUAUCAGAAGUGCGAAUGUUGACAUGAGUAGCGAUAAAGCGGGUGAAAAGCCCGCUCGCCGAAAGCCCAAGGUUUCCUACGCAACGUUCAUCGGCGUAGGGUAAGUCGGCCCCUAAGGCGAGGCAGAAAUGCGUAGUCGAUGGGAAACAGGUUAAUAUUCCUGUACUUGAUUCAAAUGCGAUGUGGGGACGGAGAAGGUUAGGUUGGCAAGCUGUUGGAAUAGCUUGUUUAAGCCGGUAGGUGGAAGACUUAGGCAAAUCCGGGUUUUCUUAACACCGAGAAGUGAUGACGAGUGUCUACGGACACGAAGCAACCGAUACCACGCUUCCAGGAAAAGCCACUAAGCUUCAGUUUGAAUCGAACCGUACCGCAAACCGACACAGGUGGGCAGGAUGAGAAUUCUAAGGCGCUUGAGAGAACUCGGGAGAAGGAACUCGGCAAAUUGAUACCGUAACUUCGGGAGAAGGUAUGCCCUCUAAGGUUAAGGACUUGCUCCGUAAGCCCCGGAGGGUCGCAGAGAAUAGGUGGCUGCGACUGUUUAUUAAAAACACAGCACUCUGCCAACACGAAAGUGGACGUAUAGGGUGUGACGCCUGCCCGGUGCCGGAAGGUUAAUUGAAGAUGUGCAAGCAUCGGAUCGAAGCCCCGGUAAACGGCGGCCGUAACUAUAACGGUCCUAAGGUAGCGAAAUUCCUUGUCGGGUAAGUUCCGACCCGCACGAAUGGCGUAACGAUGGCCACACUGUCUCCUCCCGAGACUCAGCGAAGUUGAAGUGGUUGUGAAGAUGCAAUCUACCCGCUGCUAGACGGAGAGACCCCGUGAACCUUUACUGUAGCUUUGCAUUGGACUUUGAAGUCACUUGUGUAGGAUAGGUGGGAGGCUUGGAAGCAGAGACGCCAGUCUCUGUGGAGUCGUCCUUGAAAUACCACCCUGGUGUCUUUGAGGUUCUAACCCAGACCCGUCAUCCGGGUCGGGGACCGUGCAUGGUAGGCAGUUUGACUGGGGCGGUCUCCUCCCAAAGCGUAACGGAGGAGUUCGAAGGUUACCUAGGUCCGGUCGGAAAUCGGACUGAUAGUGCAAUGGCAAAAGGUAGCUUAACUGCGAGACCGACAAGUCGGGCAGGUGCGAAAGCAGGACAUAGUGAUCCGGUGGUUCUGUAUGGAAGGGCCAUCGCUCAACGGAUAAAAGGUACUCCGGGGAUAACAGGCUGAUUCCGCCCAAGAGUUCAUAUCGACGGCGGAGUUUGGCACCUCGAUGUCGGCUCAUCACAUCCUGGGGCUGUAGUCGGUCCCAAGGGUAUGGCUGUUCGCCAUUUAAAGUGGUACGUGAGCUGGGUUUAAAACGUCGUGAGACAGUUUGGUCCCUAUCUGCAGUGGGCGUUGGAAGUUUGACGGGGGCUGCUCCUAGUACGAGAGGACCGGAGUGGACGAACCUCUGGUGUACCGGUUGUAACGCCAGUUGCAUAGCCGGGUAGCUAAGUUCGGAAGAGAUAAGCGCUGAAAGCAUCUAAGCGCGAAACUCGCCUGAAGAUGAGACUUCCCUUGCGGUUUAACCGCACUAAAGGGUCGUUCGAGACCAGGACGUUGA